UCAAGUUACUAAGGGUGUAUGGGGGAUGUCUUGGCGUCGAGAGGCGAUGAAGGACGUGGCUGACUGCGAUAAGCCUGGGGCAGGUGUCUAGCAACCGAUAAUCCCAGGAUCUCCGAAUGAGGCAACUCACCGUCACUGGGCAACCAGAUGGCGGUACCUGCGGCUGAAUGCAUAGGCCGUAUGGAGCGAACGCAGGGAACUGAAACAUCUCAGUACCUGCAGGAAAAGAAAUCAACCGAGACUCCGUAAGUAGCGGCGAGCGAAAGCGGAUCAGCCCAAACCAGGGGGCUUGCUCCCUGGGGUUGCGGGCGUUGACAUCCCAGUACGACGGUUAGUGGAAUGAUCUGGAAAGUUCGACCACAGAAGGUGAUAGUCCUGUACGCGAAAACCGAAGUACUGCGUUGACGUUCCAGAGUAGCACGGAGCUCGUGAAACUCUGUGUGAAGCUGGGGGGACCAUCCUCCAAGGCUAAGUACUACUCGACGACCGAUAGUGGAAAGUAGCGCGAGCGAACGAUGAAAAGAACCCCUAUUAGGGGAGUUAAAAGGACCUGAAACCAUACACCUACAAGCGGUCGGAGCCCUAUGAUCCGUCUUCGGACGGAUAAUGGGUGACGGCGUGCCUUUUGCAUAAUGAACCGGCGAGUUGUUGUCUGUGGCAAGGUUAAGCACUUUAGGUGCGGAGCCGUAGCGAAAGCGAGUCUGAAUAGGGCGAAUUAGUCGCAGGUAACACGACGCGAAGCCAAGUGAUCUACCCAUGGCCAGGUUGAAAGGGAUGUAAAAAUCCCUGGAGGACCGAACUCACUAACGUUGAAAAGUUAGGGGAUGAGCUGUGGGGAGGAGUGAAAGUCUAAUCAAACUUGGAGAUAUCUCGUUCUCUCCGAAAUAGCUUUUGGGCUAGCCUCGAGGAACUGCUUUACGGGGGUAGAGCUACUGAAUGGGGAUAGGGGGCCACCAGCCUACCUACCUCAACCAAACUCCGAAUACCGUAAAGUUUAUCUCGGGAGUAAGACUGCGAGCGAUAACGUCCGUGGUCUAAAGGGAAACAACCCGGAUCGCCAGCUAAGGUCCCGAAGUUCUGCUAAGUUCUUAAGGAAGUUGAAUUGCUGUGACAGCCAGGAUGUUGGCUUAGAAGCAGCCACCAUUUAAAAAGUGCGUAAUAGCUUACUGGUCGAGCAGUUCGGCGCCGAUAAUGACCGGGAAUAAGCAGAACACCGAAGCUGCGGGUUUGCAGGCUGCUGCGGCGGCUUGCAAGCGGUAGGAGAGCGUUGCUAUCAGCGUAGAAGCCAUACAGUAAUGAGUGGUGGAGCGGUAGCAAGUGAUUAUGCCGGCAUGAGUAACGAUAAAACAGGUGAGAAUCCUGUUCGCCGUAAGCCUAAGGUUUCCUGGGGAAGGUAAAUCCGCCCAGGGUUAGUCGGGUCCUUAGUCGAGGCCGAAAGGCGUAGACGAUGGGCAGCAGGUUAAUAUUCCUGCACCAUGUUGCUGGACGAAGUCAGUGACGCAUCUUCAAGGGUCAUCCCACGACUAGUAGGGUGGGUCCCGCAAGGGCGAGGCCAAUUUACGAUGCCGAAGUGGCUGGAGAAGAUGCCGAGAAAUAGCUGGCGUAGGUUGAAAGCAGCAUGUCCGUACCGCAAACUGACACAGGUAGGCGAGGAGAGUAUCCUCAGGCGCUCGAGAGAACCGUCCUUAAGGAACUAGGCAAUUUUCCCCCGUACGUUCGCAAUAAGGGGUCCCUCCGCGUGUACUUGAUUUAUCAGGUGCAUGGCGAGGGCGCAGAGAAAUGGCUCUGGCGACUGUUUAUCAAAAACACAGUUCUGUGCUAACUCCGAAAGAGGAUGUAUACAGAAUGACGCCUGCUCGGUGCCGGAAGGUUAAGGGGAGGGGUUAGCCGCAAGGCGAAGCUCUAAACUGAAGCCCCGGUAAACGGCGGCCGUAACUAUGACGGUCCUAAGGUAGCGAAGUUCCUUGUCGGGUAA
rnacentral:rRNA from 1 species